rnacentral:rRNA from 1 species
AACGAACGCUGGCGGCGUGCCUAACACAUGCAAGUCGAGCGCGAAAAGGGCAACCUGAGUAGAGCGGCGCACGGGUGCGUAACACGUGGGUAAUCUGCCUUAGAGUCGAGGAUAACCUUCCGAAAGGUUGGCUAAUACUCGGUAAGCUUACGGUGUCUUCGGACGCUGUGGGAAAAGUAGGCCUCUGUUUACAAGCUUACGCUCUGAGAUGAGCCCGCGGCCCAUCAGCUAGUUGGCGGUGUAACGGACCACCAAGGCAGCGACGGGUAGCUGGUCUGAGAGGACGAUCAGCCACACUGGAACUGAGACACGGUCCAGACUCCUACGGGAGGCAGCAGUGGGGAAUUUUCCACAAUGGGCGAAAGCCUGAUGGAGCAACGCCGCGUGUGUGAUGAAGGCUUUCGGAUCGUAAAGCACUUUCGACUGGGACGAAAAACCUUUGGCUAACAUCCAGGGGCCUGACGGUACCAGGAGAAGAAGCACCGGCUAACUCUGUGCCAGCAGCCGCGGUAAUAC